rnacentral:rRNA from 1 species
CUCGACAACGGAUAUCUCGGCUCUCGCAUCGAUGAAGAACGUAGUGAAAUGCGAUACUUGGUGUGAAUUGCAGAAUUCCGUGGAACCAUCGAGUUUUUUGAACGCAAGUUGCGCCCGAAGCCUUCUGGCCGAGGGCACGUCUGCCUGGGCGUCACG